GCGCUCACUUUGGCAGCACAUAUACUAAAAUUGCAAUGAUAUAGAGAAGGUUAGCAUGGUCCCUGUGCAAAGAUGACAUGCAAAUUUGUGAAGCAUUUCAUAUUUUU
rnacentral:snRNA from 1 species